rnacentral:miRNA from 3 species
ACAGUGAGGUAGAGGGAGUG